UACAGAGGUCUCAAGCGUUGUUUCGGGAUUCAUUGGGCGUAAAGGGUGCGUAGGCGGCGCGGUAAGUCGGGUGUGAAAUCUUGGAGCUUAACUCCGAAACUGCAUUCGAUACUGCCGUGCUUGAGGACUGGAGAGGAGACGUGGAAUUUACGGUGAGCGGUGAAAUGCGUAGAUAUCGUAAGGAAGACCAGUGGCGAAGG
rnacentral:rRNA from 1 species